rnacentral:rRNA from 1 species
CACGUAGGAGGCGAGCGUUGUCCGGAAUCAUUGGGCGUAAAGAGCGCGCAGGCGGCUUGGCAAGUCGGGUGUGAAAUCCCGGGGCUCAACCCCGGGACUGCAUUCGAUACUGUCAGGCUAGAGGUAGGUAGGGGAGAUCGGAAUUCCUGGUGUAGCGGUGAAAUGCGUAGAUAUCUGGAGGAACACCGGUGGCGAAGGCGACAUCCUGGACCGGCAUUGACGCUGAGGCGCGAAAGCCAGGGGAGCAAACGGG